GCGGGAAUCGCCAAGUAUGGUCAAAGGUGGUGGACUUAGAAUCCAUUCUCGUAGGAGUUCGGGAGUUCAAAUCUCCCUUCCCGCA
rnacentral:tRNA from 1 species